rnacentral:rRNA from 1 species
GAUCCUGGCUCAGGAUGAACGCUGGCGGCGUGCUUAACACAUGCAAGUCGAACGAAGCACUUUUAUUUUGAUUUCCUUCGGGACUGAUUAUUUUGUGACUGAGUGGCGGACGGGUGAGUAACGCGUGGGUAACCUGCCUUGUACAGGGGGAUAACAGUUGGAAACGGCUGCUAAUACCGCAUAAGCGCACGGCAUCGCAUGAUGCAGUGUGAAAAACUCCGGUGGUAUAAGAUGGACCCGCGUUGG